rnacentral:rRNA from 1 species
UACGUAGGGUGCGAGCGUUGUCCGGAAUUAUUGGGCGUAAAGAGCUCGUAGGCGGUCUGUCGCGUCGAUCGUGAAAACUUGGGGCUUAACCCUGAGCUUGCGGUCGAUACGGGCAUGACUGGAGUUCGGCAGGGGAGACUGGAAUUCCCGGUGUAGCGGUGAAAUGCGUAGAUAUCGGGAAGAACACCGAUGGCGAAAGCACUCUGCUGGGCCGAAACUGACACUGAGGGACGAAAGCUAGGGGAGCGAAAGGG